GCUUCACUUUCAUGUCCAGAGCUGCUUAGACUGAUUUCUGCAAAGUGCACAGGCAUUUUCAUGCUGAGGAUAAAGUGACAGCUGCUAAAAAGGGUUGGAAGAAAAUUUCUUAAAGCUUACAUAGCAGAAUAAAUGUCUGGGAAUAGGACCAUGAUCGCUUGUCUGGACCCAGAAAAUAUUUCCCAUUUGCUACACAGAUGCCGUCUCAUCCUUCCAGAGUUCAAGACUUCAGCAGAAAAAAAAAUCACCUCAUUAAAGGAAAAUUGUGCCUUAUCCCCACUACUCGAAGAUGCAACCAUCUGCCUGGUCACAGCCACUUUUUUCCUUUUUUUCUCACUCCAUCGUAUGUGUGUGUGGUGGGGCAGGGGAUAAGGGGAAUAAUCUCUCUCCAGUAUAAGAAGGUAAUGAUUCAAAGAUUUAAAUGCUAAACUUCUGGGACUUCGGGACUUACUAUAAAACUAGAUAAGAUCAACAACAACAAAAACAAUGCUUUCUAUUGAAAUUUGUACAGUUUUGCAAGUUCAUUUCUGCUCUUCGUCUGUUGAAGCAUCAAUAAAGUCCAAGAAAAAUACUGGGAAUCAGAUUCAUGCCCAAAGUGACCCUGUGGCAGUUGAGGAUUGACUGGGCUAGAAGACCAAAGUUUAAAGCGCAAGUUAAUCUGAGACAGAGAAAUGAAAGAGAAGAUGAGAAAGAAAAGUGGCCUCAAAAUAAGAGGAACUAGGGUCCUGGCUCAGAGGCUCAUGCCUGUAAUUCCAUCACUUUGGGAGGCCGAGGUGGGCAGAUCACCCGAGGUCAGGAGUUCCAGACCAGCCUGGCCAACAUGGUGAAACCCCGUAUCUACUAAAAAUACAAAAA
rnacentral:lncRNA from 1 species